rnacentral:rRNA from 1 species
AGGGCGGGACACGUGGUAUCCUGUCUGAAUAUGGGGGGACCAUCCUCCAAGGCUAAAUACUCCUGACUGACCGAUAGUGAACCAGUACCGUGAGGGAAAGGCGAAAAGAACCCCGGCGAGGGGAGUGAAAAAGAACCUGAAACCGUGUACGUACAAGCAGUGGGAGCCUACUUGUUAGGUGACUGCGUACCUUUUGUAUAAUGGGUCAGCGACUUAUAUUCUGUAGCAAGGUUAACCGUAUAGGGGAGCCGCAGGGAAACCGAGUCUUAACUGGGCGUUAAGUUGCAGGGUAUAGACCCGAAACCCGGUGAUCUAGCCAUGGGCAGGUUGAAGGUUGGGUAACACUAACUGGAGGACCGAACCGACUAAUGUUGAAAAAUUAGCGGAUGACUUGUGGCUGGGGGUGAAAGGCCAAUCAAACCGGGAGAUAGCUGGUUCUCCCCGAAAGCU